GAUGAACGCUGGCGGCGUGCUUAACACAUGCAAGUCGAACGGUGAAGGCGGAGCUUGCUCUGCUGGAUCAGUGGCGAACGGGUGAGUAACACGUGAGCAAUCUGCCCCUGACUCUGGGAUAAGCGCUGGAAACGGCGUCUAAUACUGGAUACGAGCUGCGAAGGCAUCUUCAGCAGCUGGAAAGAAUUUCGGUCAGGGAUGAGCUCGCGGCCUAUCAGCUUGUUGGUGAGGUAAUGGCUCACCAAGGCGUCGACGGGUAGCCGGCCUGAGAGGGUGACCGGCGACACUGGGACUGAGACACGGCCCAGACGCGAACGGGAGGCAGCAGUGGGGAAUAUUGCACAAUGGGGGAGAGCCUGAUGCGGCAACGCCGCGUGAGGGACGACGGCCUUCGGGUUGUAAACCGCUUUUAGCAGGGAAGAAGGGGAAGUGACGGUACCUGCAGAAAAAGCGCCGGCUAACUACGUG
rnacentral:rRNA from 1 species